GGCGGACUCCUUCGGGAGGAAACCGGUGGACCGAGCGGCGGACGGGUGAGUAACACGUGGGCAACCUGCCGGACUGAUGGGAAUAACCCCGGGAAACCGGGGCUAAUGCCCAAUACGCCCUGACCUCGCCUGAGGUCAGCGGUAAAGCAGGGAUCUUCGGAUCCUUGCACAGUCCGAUGGGCCCGCGGCGCAUUAGCUAGUUGGAGAGGUAAGGGCUCCCCAAGGCGACGAUGCGUAGCCGACCUGAGAGGGUGAUCGGCCACACUGGGACUGAGACACGGCCCAGACUCCUACGGGAGGCAGCAGUAGGGAAUCAUCCGCAAUGGGCGAAAGCCUGACGGUGCAACGCCGCGUGAGUGAUGAAGGUUUUCGGAUCGUAAAGCUCUGUUGACAGGGAAGAACCCACGCCAGUCGAACAGGCUGGCGUGCUGACGGUACCUGUCCAGAAAGCCCCGGCUAACUACGUGCCAGCAGCCGCGGUAAUACGUAGGGGGCAAGCGUUGUCCGGAAUUAUUGGGCGUAAAGGGCAC
rnacentral:rRNA from 2 species